UCAUUUCUACCGUCAAUAUUAAUUCAAUAACUGCUUCUAAAGCAAAAACUUCACCAGCGGACAUGUUAGAGCGGGAGUCUGACCUGAAAUCACGGACAAAUGAACAACAACAACAAUCAGGAUUACAGCUUUCUGUGACGUUUUCCUCAGGUACAGCAGUGAGCAGUGACCUACAGUCUACACAGCCCAGUGAAGUUAAACAUAUUAUAUAUUCCAUAAUAUUAACAACAUUAGUCAAGCAGUUGUUUCUAGUUAAGGUCCAGGAACUCCUGAGCUUCAUCAGGUCACCUGUAAAACAUGGAGGAUUCAGUGUUACUUGUAAGGCAGCAUAUAAUAUACAGUAUAAUAUAAUAUACAGUGUAAUAUAAAACAAGUACAACAGCUCAUUGUGGCUCACAGUAGUCCUAAGUUAUAAACUAAAAUAAUAAGCAGUGUCUCUGGUGGUUCCUUGUUGCAGCUAACUGUAGUGAUGUGUUGUUGAAACAGUCUGAGGUUACCAACACAAUGUCUAUCUAAUGGCAGCAGAUAUACACACACACACACAGGACAUUUACUGUGACUGUAACUGAUGUUGUAACAAGUUCCCGGUGCAAUAACAGACAUUUAGCAGUGAGCCUCAGUGUUUAUAAUACAAUAGGAGAUUAUAUGACUAUAGGAUGUUACACUGGACCUACACUUAUAUCGUCAGUAAUAGCAGUACUUCAGUAACGCUAAAUAAACAGACCAGAAAACUUUUAUUCGUCGCGGUUUGACUCCACAUAAA